rnacentral:lncRNA from 1 species
UCUACCUUCUCAUUCUCAUUUUGCUCUCAAAUAAUACCUCUAUUUAUAAGCAUUUCAUGGCAGACAAUUAUGAGCAUUUUUGUGCUGGAAUGGAAUAGAUAUGGCUUCUCAAUCUCUGAGUUCCAGUUGGGUAGAUAUCUUGGUGUGCCUCUCAUUAGUGGAAAGCUAAGUGAUGUUGAUUGCAUGCUGCUCCUGGAAAAAAAUAAAAAAAAUAAUUACUGUUCAUUUCUUACGGGCUUGAAACCAAGUUCAUUGGGAAAUGCAGAGCUAAUUUCAACCCAAAAAUUUGCUUAUCAUUUUUAGUGAAUAAUGAAAUAGAUGAUGAUUAACACAGAUGAUGAUUGACAGUGAUCAUUGAAAUAAUGAAGGAGGUUACAAUCAAAGAACACCCAGAGUGAUACAGGAUGAACAAUCAAGUUGAACAGUAGGUGCAUCAAAGUCUAGACAACACUUACGGAAAGAAGUCUGACGCAGGAGAUUCUAGAGGAGCUGGGCUAUCACAUACGUAGUUGAUAGCUUUGAACUACCUUGACAUGGCAGACCAGUGCAGGGAUGGAAGGACACAAGAGUUUGGGUCCGAUUUGAGGAUGUUUUUGCACACUAUGAAACAAUAAGUUGUCAGGCUUAGGAUCCCUAUGCAUGAUGAGAACAGAGGGCAUGACUGAAACAGUGUAAGAAUGAUUCAGAGCAUGUUUUCUUUCCUACCCUUAUUCAUUCAUAAAUUAGAGGCUUGUCAUCCUUCACCAUCCUCCUACAAAAAGAUCACCAAGUAAUUAAAAGCCAUAAACUUUGGAACCAAUCAAACUCUCAAAAUUAAUUAACUUCGAUUUUUUGCCGGUUCAAUAAAAAAUACUAUCCAUCAAGCAUAUCUGUAAUAUUCAUACAAAUCAACCAGAAUUAAAGCCAAUAAUUCAAAACCAAAACAUAUAUAAUGCUUACCAAGCCGUAAGGGAUCUACCUUAAUGAUGUCCCACAACCAUGCAAGGCCAUGAAGGACAUCCUUAGCAUCAGGAUGUGCUCCCACUCCACUACUGGCUCACGCCAUCUUCUGCUUCCUUGUGGAUCAAACUUAAUGGAGACAACAAGGCUUGAAUCAGGAAGAGAAUUGGUUAUAAGCAGACAGAAAGAUUCAGAGAGACAGAGAGAGGCUAUGUACCCAAAUAUCCCACAGCAAUAAUAAAUUUGAUGCUCAAUUCAAAAGCAUUAAAUGAAAUCUGAAAUAUUCAUACAAAUCAAUCAGAAUUAAAGCCAAUAAUUCAAAACUAAAACAUAUAUAAUGCUUACCAAGCCGUAAGGGGUCUACCUUAAUGAUGUCCCACAACCAUGCAAGGCCAUGAAGGACAUCAUUAGCAUCAGGAUGCUCCCACUCCACUACUGCCUCACGCCAUUCUUUCGCUUUCUUGUGGAUGAAACUUAAUGCAGACAACAAGGCUUGAAUCAGGAAGAGAAUUGGUUACAAGCAGACAGAAGAUUCAGAGAGACAGAAAGAGGUUAUGUACGCAGAUAUCCCACAGCAAUAAUGAAUUUGGUGCUCAAUUCAAAAGCAUUAUAUGAAAUUGUCUGACAUGAGACUAGAGCAAUUAGGAUUACUGGAGAAUCCACCGCUUCUUGUGCCAUACCCAAAGCUAUGCAGAGUGUGGAUCCCCUUAGCUUCCCCAAAUGCAUCAUCUCUCCUUGAAAUGCCUUAACAACAAACAUUCUGCAGCUUUGGAAUCCUUCAUCGGCUGUCAAAUUAUCUACAAAAAGAUUUUCAAAUUAUUAAAAAGGCACAAACUUCAAAGCUAAUCAAAUUCUCAUUUAAAAUCUCGUCUUUAAAAAGACAAGAGUUAUCCAAUCCCACAUAAACAAAUUAAGAAUCUUCCUAUAAAUAAUAAAUAAAAAGAGGAAUUUUUGAUAAUAUUUAAUUAGUGUCUCAAAAUUAAAGGGACAAAUAUAAAAGGUGUUAGGAUUGUGAGAGAAAGAGAGGAAUCACCGAAACUUUAUAAAGGGACGAAGGACAUCCUUAGCGUUAGGAUCCUCCCACUCCACUACUGACUCCCACCAUUCUUUUGGUCUUAUAUACAUUUCUCUAAUAGAAGGGGGAGAUGGAAGACAAAUUGCCAUCCUCUUCAGCUUCUCACAUAUGUCUACGUCAAUUUUUUGGAGAGAAUUGCAAAUUAAUUUUGCACUACAAAUUCUUUUCAGUUCUGGUAACCAACUCAAUUCCAAUUCUCUUAACUUUGGGAUUCUGAACUCGAUGUUGUUGUUGCUGCUUUCUUCAUCUGAUCUUGUUCCACUUAUUAUCUCCUCCAUCUUCUCACAUCCUACAACUAUAAUCUUUUCUAGGUUUAAGAGACAAAUCCAAGAAGAUGGAACCAAGAUCUCCAUGCUAUCGCAAAUCAUUACUUCCAUUUGUUGGAGAGAAUCACAAAUCAGUUUUGCACUACAAAUUCUUUUCAGUUCUGGUAACAUACUCAAUUUCAAUUCUCUUAACUUUGGGAGUUUGAAUUCGGUGUUGCUACUGCUGCUUUCUUCAUCUGAUUUUGUUCCACCUAUUAUCUCCUUCAUCUUCUUACAUCCUAAUACUGUAAUCUUUUCUAGGUUUACGAGGGAAGUCCAAGAAGAUGGAACCAAGCUCUCUAUGCUGUUGCAAUUCCGUACUUUAAUUUGUUGGAGAGAAUCGCAAAUCAGUUUUGCACUACAAAUUCUUUUCAGUUCUGGUAAAUUUUCUAAUGCCAGAGAUCUUAACUUUGGGAGUUUGAAUUCGGUGUUGCUACUGUUGCUUUCUUCAUCUGAUCUUGUUCCACCUAUUAUCUCCUUCAUCUUCGUACAUCCUGCAACUGUAAUCUCUUCUAGGUUUACGAGGCAAAUCCAAGAAGAUGGAACCGAGAUUUCCAUGCUCUUGCAAUUCUGUACUUCAAUUUGUUGGAGAGAAUCGCACAUCAAUUUUGCUCUACAAAUGCUUUUCAGUUCUGGUAAAUUAAACAAUGCUAGAGAUCUUAACUUUGGGAGUUUGAAUUCGGUGCUGCUGCUGUUGCUGCUGCUGCUGCUUUCUUCAUCUGAUCUUGUUCCUGUAAAGAUAUCAACGGCUUUACGUCUACCAAGUGUCAGAAGAUUAGAGAUUGAUAUUGUUAGAAUGUUGUUAGUAUUGUUUGUUAGCUAAGAGAGUUUGUUAGUAUUGUUUCAGUGCUAAGAGAAAGAACAGAUACCGUGUAUUAUCUUUCUAAUAUAGCCUAUAUAAACUGAGGAUUAGUGAUGUGAAAAUAAUGAAAGAAAAAGUAAUAAUAAAACAGUGCGAGACUUCAUCUUCUGCUUCUCUGUAACAGAAUUAUUCUAUAUUCUUCUUUCCUUUCUAUUCUCUGCACUUUCUUCAUUUCUGCUCCUUUUCUGUAUAAAUUCUACCGUCUAUCAUGGUAUCAGAGCAGUAACUGGUCCGAUGGGAUGUCUUCUGAUUGUCAAGAAUUAUACUGGCGAUCGUCUAAAUUUUGGUUUGGCUGCUAAGCAAGCAAAAUCUGAAGGUUAUAAAGUAGAGACUGUAAUUGUUGGAGAUGACUGUGCUUUACCUUCACCUCGAGGCAUAGCUGGACGAAGAGGGUUGACGGGGACUAUUCUUGUUCAUAAGGUUGCUGCAGCUGCAGUUGCUGUUGGCCUUUCUCUUGAUGAAGUUGCUGCAGAAGCGAAACGUGCAUCUGAAAUGGUUCUAAUAUCUUGCUAAUCUCUGUUUAUGUGGAGAGAGCAAUACGGUCUCUUAAGAUUCAUACUUCUCAACAAGCUUGCACAAAGAGGCACUAAAUUGCUUUUGGCCACUUGCCAGAGCAAGUACGAUAGUCUUCUCCAUCAAAUCCUGAAGAAGAUCAAUAUAUAACAAAGAGUCGCCGCCAAUGUAUUACCAGCAGCCAUUAAUCUCUGUUUCUGGCAUUAUUAUCUCCUUAUCUACACAAUUCUUUCAUAAUAAUCGAUCUGUCUAUCAUUUGUUUGAUAUAUUGUCAAACUGAAAAAUUCUUCUUCAAAUCUUCAACUUUCUGCAAGAUUCUUCCUUCUCAAUCUUUGAUUCUCUUCUUUUCUAUCUCUUGCACUCUAAAAAUGGCGACUACUUCUCAACUUCAGAUAGUUCAACUCUAAUAAGAGAAUAUACACAUAAACGUUUUCUUCUUCCUCUGCACUACAUAAUUUCUCUCUGCUUCUCUUCAUCUCUAUUCUCUGCUUUUCUUCUCUUCAUCUCUAUUGCUUCUAUUCUCUGCUUUUCUAUUGCAGUAUCUCCCUCUAAUUCUAUUCACUUCUUUGUUCAUCUCUGUGACGAUUCUUGCUAGCUUUUCAAAAUAUUUCUUCUAUCUCCAUUGCUUCCAAUCCAGUGUUCCAUUCCAGGAUGAAACAUCUCCAGAUCGAUUAUCACUUUGUUAGGGAACGGGUUAUCAAGGGUGAUUUACUGGUCCAGCAUGUCUUCUCUACUGAUCAGUUUGCUGAUAUCCUCAUCAAAGGUCUUUCCAUUUCUUUGUUUCAGCAUCAUUGUUCCAAUCUCAUGCUUGGCUCCUCCAAGCCUGCGAUUGAGGGGGCAUGUAAAGAUAUCAACGGCUUUACGUCUACCAAGUGUCAGAAGAUUAGAGAUUGAUAUUGUUAGAAUGUUGUUAGUAUUGUUUGUUAGCUAAGAGAGUUUGUUAGUAUUGUUUCAGUGCUAAGAGAAAGAACAGAUACCGUGUAUUACCUUUCUAAUAUAGCCUAUAUAAACUGAGGAUUAGUGAUGUGAAAAUAAUGAAAGAAAAAGUAAUAAUAAAACAGUGCGAGACUUCAUCUUCUGCUUCUCUGUAACAGAAUUAUUCUAUAUUCUUCUUCCUUUCUAUUCUCCGCACUUUCUUCAUUUCUGCUCCUUUUCUGUAUAAAUUCUACCGUCUAUCAGUUCCACCUAUUAUCUCCUUCAUCUUCUUACAUUCUGCAACUAUAAUCUCUUCUAGGUUUACGAGGCAAAUCCAAGAAGAUGGAAUCAAGCUCUCCAUGUUGUUGCAAUUCCUUACUUCAAUUUGUUGGAGAGAAUCAUACAUCAGUUUUGCACUACAAAUGCUUUUCAGUUCUGGUAAAUUAAACAAUGCUAGAGAUCUUAACUUUGGAAGUUUGAAUUCGGUGUUGCUGCUGCUGCUUUCUUCAUCUGAUCUUGUUCCACCUAUUAUCUCCUCCAUUUUCUCACAUCCUCUAACUGUAAUUUCUUCUAGGUUUACGAGGCAAAUCCAAGAAGAUGGAAUCAAGCUCUCCAUGCUGUCGCAAUUCGUUACUUCAAUUUGUUGGAGAGAAUCGCACAUCAAUUUUGCACUAUAAAUGCUUUUCAGUUCUGGUAAAUUAAACAAUGCCAGAGAUCUUAACUUUGGGAGUUUGAAUUCGGUGCUGCUGUUGCUAUUUUCUUCAUCUGAUCUUGUUCCACCUAUUAUCUCCUUCAUCUUCUUACAUCUUGCAACUGUAAUCUGUUCUAGGUUUGCGAGGCAAAUCCAUGAAGAUGGAACCAAGCUCUUCAUGUUGUCGCAAUUCCAUACUUUAAUUUGUUGGAGAGAAUCGCACAUCAAUUUUGCACUACAAAUGCUUUUCAGUUUUGGUAAAUUAAACAAUGCCAGAGAUCUUAACUUUGGGAUUUUGAAUUCGGUGCUGCUGCUGCUGCUUUCUUCAUCUGAUCUUGUUCCACCUAUUAUCUCCUCCAUUUUCUCACAUCCUCUAACUGUAAUCUCUUCUAGGUUUACGAGGCAAAUCAAAGAAGAUGGAACCAAGAUUUCCAUGCUCUUGCAAUUCUUUACUUCAAUUUGUUGGAGAGAAUCGCACAUCAGUUUUGCUCUACAAAUGCUUUUCAGUUCUGGUAAAUUAAACAAUGCCAGAGAUCUUAACUUUGGGAGUUUGAAUUCGGUGCUGCUGCUGCUGCUGCUUUCUUCAUCUGAUCUUGUUCCACCUAUUAUAUCCUUCAUCUUCUUACAUCCUGCAACUAUAAUCUCUUCUAGGUUUACGAGGCAAAUCCAAGAAGAUGGAAUCAAGCUCUCCAUGCUGUUGCAAUUCAUUACUUCAAUUUGUUGGAGAGAAUCGCACAUCAGUUUUGCAUUACAAAUGCUUUUCAGUUCUGGUAAAUUAAACAAUGCCAGAAAUCUUAACUUUGGAAGUUUGAAUUCGGAGUUGCUGCUGCUGCUUUCUUCAUUUGAUCUUGUUCCACCUAUUAUCUCCUCCAUUUUCUCACAUUCAUCUACUCUAAUCUCUUCCAAGUUUACGAGGUUUAGCAGCAAGACAAAAGGGAACAACUUCUUCAUACUACUACAUCGAGAGCAAUUGAACUCUUUAAGACUAGAAAAUACACCAUUAUAAGAUGGCAAUGAUGUUGGAGAAGGGCCAAACCAAGAAGAUGAAACCAAGCUCUUCAUGCUAUUGCAAUCCUCAAUGUGGAUGACCUCCAGUUUAUUUGAAUGCUCUAUCAGAGAGGAAACAUCACAUGAACAUUUAUAAAUAAACAGUUGUUGAAUGUCAUUUGGGAACAUGACUUGAAAAUCUCCAUCUCCAUUGUUACAUAAAUUAUCCAACCUAACUGUUUUACUUGGUGAUGUACUUUGUGACGUCAAAUUACCCAACCCAACAAAAACAUAUUGACAUCUAUCUCGUGGUCCUACAAAAAUAUGGUAUGUACUUGGUGAUCGUGUCGUAUCCCGAGAAUUCAAAUACUCCACAAAGUCAGAUUGACCUUCAAAAUGGCAUGCCAAAAUUUCCAACUCCCCCAAGCAUCCUACUUCCUUUCCUUUAACUGUUACUGGAUAGUAGUUACGAUCAAUCCACUCCUCUAAUAUGAAGACUUGCAGGUGAGAGAGUUUUGGUAAUAUCCAACUAGGAAACUUCUUUUCACCACAUCCAUUCAUCCUCAGAUACCUCAGGUUGGAUAGACAUUGCAUGCCUUGAGGUAUCUUUUUAAGUGCCCUAGUACCAGAGAGAUCUAGCCUCUUCAGUGCUCCGAGCUUUUCUAAUGAUGGUACAUGCCUUAAACUUCUGCAUUCUUUGAGCAAUAAUGCAGUGAUACUCACCAGUGUAGAGACAGAAUUAGGCAAUUUUAUGAUGCUUGUACGAGACAAGUCAAGAACCUUGAGCCCAUGCAAUUGUGUGAAAAACGAAUUUGCAAUAAAUUGCAAAUGUAGAUUAUCACAUGGCAAUAGAGUUGAAAGAUUGGGGCAUCUUGGUGAAUAACUAGAAGGAAUUUCCUCGAAAUAACAAUCCUUCAUAUAGACUCUCACUAAAUUACCCAACCAAAUUGUUUUACUUCUGCCAGAAUUAGCUAUUUCAUUAUAAUAAUCUUCAUCCAGUGGUCCUACGCAAAUACUGUAUGUACUUAGUGAUCGAGUCUUAUCCCGAGAAUUGAGAUACUCCACAAAGUCAGAUUGACCUUCAAAAUGGCAUGCCAAAUUUUCCAACUCCCUCAAGCAUCCUACUUCCUUUCCUUUAAUUGUUACUGGAAAGUAGUCAUCACCAAUCUUCUCCUCUAAUAUGAAGACUUGCAGGUGAGAGAGUUUUGGUAAUAUCCCACUAGGAAACUCAUUUUCACCACAUCUAUUCAUCCUCAGAUACCUCAGGUUGGAUAGACAUUGCAGGCCUUGAGGUAUCUUUUCAAGUGCCAAAGUACCAGAGAGAUCUAGCCUCUUCAGUGCUCCGAGCUUUUCUAAUGAUGGUACAUACCUUAAACUUUCGCAUUCUUUGAGCAAUAAUGCAGUGAGACUCACCAGUUCAGAGACAGAAUCAGGCAAUUCUUUGAUUUCUGUACAAGACAGAUCAAGAACCUUGAGCCCAUGCAAUUGUGUGAAAAAAGAAUCUGCAAUAAAUUGCAACCCAUCAUUAUCACAAAGCAAUAGAGUUGAAAGAUUAGGACACCUUGGUGAAUGACUGGAAGGAAUUUCCGUGAAAAAACAACCCUUCAGAUAGACUCUCGCUAGAUUCUCUUUCCACAUAUCCACAUCUGGUAAUUCAUCAUUAUAUCCCCCAACCAUGACUGGAGUUUGUUUGGAGUAUUUGGUGGGCCAUGUCCCUAAUCAAGUCAUGCAUCUUGACAUAUCUACGAUCACCAUAACCAGCUCUUUCCAAUAAACAGACUUUUUCAAGUUUAUCAAGCAUCGUGUGGCCCUCGUCAAAUGCUGCUUGCCUCCUCCUCAUUUCUUCAAUUAUUCCCUCAUCGAUCAAAUAACCUAUCAGCUCCUCCCUUCCAAUCUUAUAAUCUUCAGGAUACAAUGCACAAUACAAGAGACAUUGUUGUGAUGCAAAAUCAUUUAACUGAUCAUAACUAAACCUCAAUAACCGGAAUACCUCAUCUUCCAUUUCCCUACAUUUUGAUUCUUUCAAUUUCUUCAAUGUAUUCCUCCACUCAUGUGGCUCAUCCACUCCCCUCAUGCUUCCUGCCAUUGUAAUAAUUCCCAACGGCAAACCAGCACAUUCCCUUACAACAUCCACAGCAAUUCGUUCCACUUCUGGAGAAAGUGUUAUGUCAUGUCCAAGUCUCUCAAUAAACAAAGCCCAAGCUUCUCUCUCCAAAAUAGGCUGCACUUUGAUUAUGUGUUGGGUUUUCAUUUGUUGACAAACCUUUUCUGAUCGAGUUGUAAGAAUAAGCUUGCAUCCCUCAACUUCGUCAGGAACUCCUAGCUUUUGUAGGUCAAAAGCCUUCCACAAAUCAUCUAAAAUCAGAACCCAUUUUUGUUUCUUCUUUAAUUCUUCUUUCAACGCGGCCGCUCUAUGCAGCUCCUCAUCUUCACUGGAAAGAUCUAAACCAAUACGUCUUGCGAGACUUGUCUGCAAUCUAUUAAUGCUGGUAUCCUGUGAAACAGUAACCCAGUAAACAUGAGUGUCUGGUCUUUCUAGAAGCUGAUUAUAUAUGUGCGUCACCAAUGCCGUCUUUCCCACUCCGCCCAUCCCAUAGAUGCCAAUACUUGAAACUUCAUUGCGCAUCAACAAAGAUGAGAUAGUCUUCUUGUGUUCUUCGAAUGCUUGACCCACCAUUUUUCUCGUUGGCAGUGCAUCUCCUUUAAUCUUAUUUGUGUUGCCUGCAACCCCUCCAGAAGAGCUAGCUCCUGCGCCAGGUUGCUCUGAUCUUCCACUAUUGUUCUCCACGUCCUCCUCCCCCAUUAAAAAAGCAGAGAUGGCAAUCUGAUCCCAAGGUUUCCCUUCUAAUUGUUGCAUCAGAUCUAUUCUUUGUGUAGCUUCCCCUGUAUUAUCAUGUGCAUCAAUCAUGAGUCUCCUGGAAUGCUGACUAGAUCCAUCACCAGUGUUUUCCAUGCUAUUUGCCGCUAAGUUCGGACAAAUUCUCUCUUCCUCCGCACCUAGUUCCAUGCCAUGUACUCCCACUUGUAUCCUCCCAGCAUGCCCUGCCAAACUGUCAAGUUCUGCAUUGCUUUGUUCCAACACUUGAACCAGUACUGGUUCUGUCCUGACUGCAACCAUGUUCUGCACAUCGUUCAUAUUGGCAUCAUUGUUUACUGAUGGAGAACAGAGUUGAGUAUCUGUUGGUCGGGAUGAAUCUCCUCGAGGCCCAUCUGUUUGAUAAAUUGAUGGCCUCUCAUGAGAACUAACUCUCUCCAGCUGCGCAAGUUCAGCCCCUCCAAUCAAAUCAUUUGCCCAUGCAAGUUCUCCAGUGAAAAAAGGUCCUCCUUGUUGUGCCAUCUCUACAUGUGUCACUUCAUUGUUCUGUUCUUGCGUUGAAGCUGAAAUUGCAUUAGCGACCUCGUUACUGCUUGAGCCCGCAACAGUUUUAAGUUUCUUUUUUGGAGGGCUAUUAUCAACUGCUUCACAAGCUGCAUCGUGAACUUCUGGUGGAACGUUUUCACAAAUUUUAACACCACGCCCUUUCUUUCUUGCCAAAUGCAAUUUGAUCCUCGUAAUGGAAGUACCUUCGGAAAAAAAAUGCCCACAAAACGUACACGUCAUGCCGCCACCACCACCAUCCAUCUUUUCAACAUAUUCCCAAAAAGGAUCAUUUGGUCGACUCAUUUUGAUCAGUGGCUCUAUAGAAAAGAAAAAAGAAAAAGAUAUGUCAACACGAUGCCCUAUUAAAAAAUAGAAAUUCAAAGGAACAUUGAAUAAAAAUCAAAGGAAGUUCCUCUUAAUGGAGGGAGUUAACAUCAGAAAGUUGUAUGUUCAAUUAACAGAAGAAAAAAACCAAUGAAUUAUGUAACUAGAUCAUAAAUCUCAAUCGAGUUUAAUUUUUUUUUUCCUCUUAAAUUUAUAAUAAACCUUAAACAAAAAUAAAAAACAAAGUGAACAGGUGCUCACAGUAUUUAUAACAAUAAAAAACAAAGUGAACAGGUGCUCACAUAAUAAUAAAAACCCGUGACCCAACUGCAUUCAAUAUUUAUUUUUCCUUAAAUUUAUAACAAACCUUAAUAAAUAAAUAAAUAUCAUCCAUAAAAGGGUAAACUGUGUAACAGAGAAUGGUAUAACGAGAUGAGAUGUGGAAGAGAUUGUUACAGUUAUAGCACAGAGAGAAGAAUGGUUCAAGAGAAAACAAUAAUGGAGGGGAAUCAAAAUCUCUGUUUGAUUUUUUUCUUUUUUGUGUUUUCAGUACACAAUAGCUUGGAAAAGUUUGUUAGCAAUAACCUGUUCGACCUCAAUAAUGUUGUUGUGGAAACUUUGUAAUGGAUCGAUCAGCAGAAAGAAACAUAUUAGAAUGAUUUUUUUUACAUUAAUAUAUUAAAUUAAAAAAUGUUAACGCGUGGACCCAUCAAUGUUUAUCAAUUUUCGAGUAUUUUCAUGACAUAUCGUCUUACAUUGCGAUUAAUAUUUAAGUAUAGAUCAAUUAAUUUUUUAAAUUAAUAAUAAAUUAUUUUAUUUUAUUUUAUUUUAAUUAGAAUUAUAAUUUAUAUGUGAGCCAACAUAUUAAAAACUUAAUGAAUUUCAUAUAUUAAGAAUUAUUUGUACAAAAUUAAAAUAUAAUGAUUAAUCAAAUACAAUUUUAUUAUAAAUAAGUUUUAGAAAUUAAGGAGUAAAAUAUAAUUAAUAAAAGAGAUUAAGAUUCUAGACCUAGAAAAAUCAAGUAAUGACUUGAUUGUAUAAAUUUCUAAAACUAUUAUGAAAUAAUAUAUAUGAUAUUUUUAAGGAGAUAAAAUGAUAUUUUAUCACUAAUAAGGUUGCCAAGUUUUUCAUAUAAAUAUAAUGUUAGAUCUCAUAUUUGUUUUUAUAUUCAUAUGAAGUGAUAAAACAUCUAAAAACAUAAAAAAAAAUUAAAAAUUAACACUAAAAGCAUAAUAACCCCUCUAUCCUAAAUCUUAUUGGUGGAUAACCCGUUUUUUUUUUAAGUAUUUUUUCAUAUUUUAAGCUUCUUAAAAAUUGUAGCACUCAUAAUCUCUAUAUUGUUAGGAAUAAUUCUUAUAUUUUUCAUGUAUCUAUAUGUCAGUAUGUGAGUCUCUCUAUAUAAAUUUAUAGUCGUGCAGUUAUUCACUAUUUGUCCCCUUCAAUUCCAGUGUUACAAAUAAGUUCAAGCUAAAAUAUUUUUCUUUGUUAUAUCCUAUUUAGUAAGGUUAUUAUAUAUCAUUCUUCUAAAAAAUUAACUAAGCUAUAAUAUGGGGUAAUAUACUUAUUCCUUUUUAAAACAAAUUAUUUUUAUAAUUUUAAAAUAUUUAAAUUAUUUUUCAAGUAUCAAAAACAUAGAUUAAUUAGUGUAAUGGAAAUGUAAUUAAAAUCAAGCGCCUUUAGGCCUCAUAUAUAAAUUCUUAACUCUCAAAAUUAUUCCAAUAAAUAUAUAUAAGGAAGAAAAACAUGCAGCUAAGACAGACAGACAAAAAAUAAUGAAAUACAUGGUUUUCCUUAAAAGAAAAGGGAACUUGAAAUACAAAGUCCUUGGCGUUUAUAGGAGGAGAAAAAAUAAAAGGUUAUGUUUAUUUUAUUCCACAGAUGAUGAAAUACUUAUUUUAAUUAGGCACUUUCCUUCACUAUUUUCUCGAGAUCUUUUAGUCACAAUUAAUAGCAAUUUUAAUUAAUUUUACUAAUUAGUAGGGAAUAAAUUUUGAUGGAUCAUGACUUCUAGGAUGAAAAUACUUAAUUAAAUAAAAUGCAAAAAUUACAACCCUUGGUGAUUUAAUAACCAGCAUGCUGUUUUAUUUGAAUGAAUCAAGCAAAACAAAAAAAAAAAAAAGUUUACCUGAACGUUUCUGGCAGCAAAAAAAAGUUCUCCAAGUGUUUGGUUACUAGUUUGCUUAAGCAAUCAGUAAAGAACAGGAAUCUGAGAGAGAAGAAUGGUUUAGAAAAAAAACAACCAACAUGGAAGAAUUAAGCAAUAAAAAACAAAAAAUAUAUAGUUUACCUGCAAAAAAAAGAGGUUCUUCAAGAGUGGUUACAGGUUAGCUUAAGCAAUCAGAAAAGAACAGGGAUCUGAGAGAGAAGAACGGCUUAGAAAAGAAUGGUAGCAGAGAGAGUGUGGAAGAGAUUGAAUGUCAAGAGGAGGUUCUGCAGCUGCUUCGUUGGCUUAAGCAGACAGACAAGGGAUAUAAUAGGCACAGAGAGAAGAGUGGUUCAAGAAAACAAAUCAAUAAUGUAAACAAUUGCUUGGAAGAGUUUUAUAGGAAUCAACAAACUGUUAAAUAUUUCACAUGUCAAUUGAUACCCACCUCGCAUAACGUGGCAACCCAUUUGUUGUUAAAACUUCGAAAACCCAAAUACUGUGAUCUGUUCGAAUGUUAAUUGUAUAAUUAAGAAAGGCAGGCGACCUCAAAUUCAAUAACGUUCAAACUUGGAAACUGCAAAUCAAUUACCUAAGGAUUAUAUAUAUAUAUAUAUAUAUAUAGUGUAGUGGACACCACAAAAAAAGGCAGCAGUGAUCAUUCGGCCCUAGCCGGCCACGAAGUCUUCCAUUCCUAAAAGUAAAUUGUAUAAUUAAGAAAAGCUAAAUUGCUAAAUUUAAAAACAGGACCAUCUGAGAAGCCGGCAUACAACAACAUGUCAAAGAUCCCUUUUUCAAAAAUAGACUAUGUAUCAUGUAGUUUAACAUCUCUAAGCAUAAUUUUUGCGAUCAAUCUCUUCAACAGUGAAGCUAGCUAUCCAAUAUUCGAGCGCUUCAAGGGAAAGAACAUCUCCUUUUUGUGCCAUCACUUCAUUGUUUUGUUCUUGCGCAGAAGCUGAAAUUGCAGUAGUUACCUCGUUAUUAUUGCUUGAGGACCAUCAAUUGCUGCACGGGCUGUAUCGUGAACUUCUUCUGGAACAUGUUUACAAAUCUUAACACCACGGCCUGUCACUCCUGAUAAAUGCAAUUUGAUCCUCGAAAUGGAAGAACGUUUCCCAAAUAAAUGCCCACAAAACUUGUGUAAUUAUUCGUAUAAAAUUGUGUAGAUGUGUAGGACGAAACUAAUAGCUCGUCGCUCAUAUAUGAUCGCAGCUAGUUCUUCCAGUAGUGAGGAUGACAUGUCUUUAGAUGCCGAUCAAGAAGAGGCAUUUGCACCGACUCGCGAUGCUGCCUCUUCCAGCGCGGUUUCACAGUCUAGAGACGGUGUGCCUUCAUAGUGAAAUCAAUUCACCCGCAAGUACGAGGAAUAUUGGAAGGACAACCUUUUAAUGUAAGUUUGUUUUGGUUUUAGUUUUUUUUAAUUAUAAUAUUAUUUAUGAACAACUAAUCAAUAUUUCAUUAAUUUAAUUUAUUUUCAAGUUCACAAACAUUGAGGCCGCCCGAGUAAUAUCAUCGGCAUUUAAAUCGUCGAUGGAGAUUCCAUUAUUUCAAUGCAGUCAGGUUUUCAGACAUCCUGAAUGAAGACCUUAUAUCGACGUAUUGUUUGACAAAUUAGAGGAUAAUGUUAAUUUUUAAUUUCCAGCUUAUUUUUAAUAAAUUAUUAUUAUAAUUGUAAAUAAAUUAUUAUUUUUAUUUUGAGAUAGUUUUGAGAUUUAUCUGUCCUACUCUCCAACUUGCAGAAAACAUUAACUCUGCUGCUAGAAAAUCAUUAACAAUGACCAUUGACAUUUGUUUCGCUCAUGAAUGAGAGGAUUUCUUAUGAUACCAUUCAUUAAUGACCAUUAUGAACAGUCCUUACAUAUGGGACACUUUGUCCAAAAGGCAUGGUAAUACAAUCCUUAAAGAGACCUCUUUAGGGCUUUUAUUUCAGUCCCAACAAUGAUGGUAGGAGGUCAGAUCUUCUCAAUAAUUAUGCAAUGUGAUUAUUGUUUUGAGUAAAUCUUUGAACAGGACAAUUUUAGUACACUGUCUUCAAUUUCAUCUUUGGUCAUUUCCAUGAUCUUCUCAAUAAUUUGCUUGUCCCUCAUUAACUCUACAGUUGAUUUCUCUAUAGUUUUUGAGAUAGAAAUCAUUAUGUUUAGUUUUAUUAUAUAUGAUACAAUUUAUUAUUUUUUAUUGGUUUCUUUUUUUCUUUGACUUAGUAUUCAUGAAGUAUAUUAAUUAUAUAUAGAAUAAAUUUAAUUUUUUAAAAAAUAAUAGAUCCAUAACUUGUAUUUAAUAAGAAUAACAACAUUCAUGAACUUGUUUUGGUUAAACAAAUAUAUAAUAUAAUAAUAAUUUAUAAUUUUAUAAUUAUAUAAUCACAAUACACGAUUUCAUGUAUUAACCUCAAUAUUUUAAAAAAAGAAGAAGAAUACUUUGAUAAAUUAAUUUUAUUAUUAAUUAAUGUAUAAAGUAAUAAAUUAUUAAUUUAUCAAAUAUCUUGAUUAAUUAAUAAAUUUUCAUAAUCCCAAAAUGUAUUAAUUGACAUAGAUUUAACUGUACAUGGGAAUUUGUAUGUGGCUCAGUGGCUGUAUUGAACCCAAGCAAGCUUUAAGAGCUUAAGAAAAACCCUCAAAUGGCCCAUCUUCCCACAAUUUAAUUUUCUUUUGCUGUUGUUGUUCGCAUAAACAAUCCAGGGAAGCACUGAUUUAUAUGUCAACCCAACUUCACAAUGGACAGCAGCAACCCAUUCUUGAAACAAUGCCCAGAUGCCAACAAGCAUGAAAACAGAGAAGAAAAGAUGGGAGCCUCGAGACACGAGAUUUCUUGAACAUCAUGCAUGGGAACCCAGAAUAUGGGAUAUCUUAGGGGUUCUGGUGAUAAGAAUGCAGCUUCACAACCAAGCUAUAUAUUUUAUACAUAGUACAUAGGCUCAAAGCCAUUACAGCCACUAAAGAAACCAGAAGAUGUGAACAAGAAGUCAAGUUUAAUUGGGAGAUGAUAUAGAUCGAAGCCAUCAUGACCAUUUGAGAGCACAGCUAAAAUGGAAGACAGCCCUGUAUGUUUGAAACUGUGUACAAUAAAAAACAAGCUAAAAGGCAGUCAAGUUUUCAGGUUUUAUGGUAGUCUUCGACUUGACAAAAAACCAUACAUCAAAACGCAUUUCCCUCCUCCUCCCCAACCGCUAGUACUAAUGGCUAAAUCAUCGCGCCGCCGAUAAAAUGAAGACAACUAGAGGAGUACUUAGAACCAAGCCAAGCCAACCAUAACACUAUCAGUUCCAUAAUCACCAAGCAUCCAUUACUAUGCAUAUACCGGGGCUAAAGUGGAACCAAGGGAAACAAUCAUAUAAGUGAACUGGAAGAAGAGCAUAGUUGCCGGCGUUCAUGUAUUUUUCUUUGGCUAUGAUCUUUUCAAUAUACUUUCGAUGAUUAUCCAAAAAAAGCAUAGUUGCCUGUGUUCAGGUAAGAUUCAGAGAAGCAUUGCCAGUGUUCAUGUAAGAAAGGAAGUCUUAAGAAAGUAAGCAUUAAACGGUUAUGGUUGAGGCUAAUAAUUCAUUAAAAUUAAAUUAAAGGCAGACAGAGAGAUUCAGAGAAAGAGAAAUACAAUCCAAUGUUAUAUUCUCCAACCAAAACUCGACGAAGGGAUUAGGGACAUCCUUGGCAUUAGGAUUCUCCCACCACAGAUAGUUGCCAUCUCUAUGCAUGAGACCUAAGCAGCCUGAAAAAGCCUCUCUAUCACCAUAAGCAGAACAGAGGACAUAACUGAAACAAUGUAAGAGUGAUUCAGAGUAUGCUUUCUUUCCUACCCUUAUUCAUUCAUAAAUAAGAGGCUUGUCAUCCUUCAAAAAGAUCACCCAGUAUUUAAAAGCCAUAAACUUUGAAAACAAUCAAACUCUCAAAAUUAAUUAACUUCCAUUUUUUGAGGGUUCACUGAAAAAUACUAUCCAUCAAGAAUAUUUGGAAUAUUCAUACAAAUCAAUCAGAAUUAAGACUAAUAAUUCAAAACUAAAACAUAUAAAUGUACAUGAAUUUAUUUUAAUAUACUGGUCAAGUUUUUAAUUAUUAUUUCAAAUAUUUCAUUACAUACAAUAAAAAAUAACAUCGUUUAAUAUUUUUUAAUACAAUUAUUUGCUUCUUUUUUUAACCCUUAACAAAGCACAGGCUCAAAGCUUAGUAGUUUUUGUAGUUGAGCCAAGGACUACAACUCCAUUUAAUAUUUUUUAUUUUGAAUUUUUUUAAAAUAUUUUUUUAGCUUUAAAUUAAUAUUUUUUAGUAUUUUUAGAUUUUUUUGAUAUGAGGAUAUUAUAAUGAUUUUAUUUAAAUAAUUUUGAUGCAUUUACAAGAAAAAAACAGUUUGAAAAACAACUUCUACAACACUUUGAUAAUGCUUAAUAUUGUAGUAGCAGUUAUUUUUAAAAAUAUUUUUUAUUUAAAAACAUAUUAAAAUAACAUAUUUUUUAUUUUUUUAUUUUUUAAUAUUAGCAUAUCAAAACAAUUUAAAAAUAAUAAAAAAAUUAAUUUUAAAAAAUUAAUUGGACCGCGUAGGCUUUACAACUCGCAUCUUUAGCUUUAAGAUAACAUCAAGACCAUUAUUCUCUGCCUUCUCUCCCUAUUAGCAAUCACAGUUGCCAAAAGAAAAGGGUGAUUUUCACCUACAAGUAGUCAAAGGAUUGGUCUUCUCUGCUUACCAAAAAAAAAAAGGAUUGGUCUUCUCCGCAAGAUUACGGAGCCAAAUCAGUAGUGCAAAAUCAUCAGAUAUUUCUCCAAGGCUACUCUUGAUUUAGAAACCAUUUGCUACUUUCUCUUGGUAACUUUCCUGUUCUUCUUUGGUCUGCUCGUGACUUUUUGAAAGGUCUGCUGAACACACGAAAAAGAGCUAACUUCUUCCAAAUGACUUCUAUUUUAGCUCUGUAUUAGGCAUGUACACAUCAUAGAAACGAAUUGUUUGAUGGUUAUGUUAGGGAAAAUAUCAUGGUUGUCUCGCAUGAGCAACAAUGUCUAUAACAUUACACGGAUUAAAGUAUUAUGAGGCCUCAUAUUGGAUAUUGUGGCAUGUCCAGCAGAAAUCACAAUGGACUCCUCCAUUGUAGAAUGUUUGCAAACAGAACUGUAAUGCAGGAACCAUGCAUAGAUGAAGUUAGAAUUUUUGGAUUUGUUGACUUAGUGUGUGUUUGGCAUUAUGGUAGCUUAGUUAUUACCUGCAAUUGAAUCCCCUGUUAUUAUUGCAGGCAUUUUGAAGGCUGAUCAUGAUUUCGAAAGUCCAGCUACUGACAGGCACGGUCUUCUUUUGGCCUCUACUAAUGGAGUAUUUGCAUGUUCUUCCAUGGCAUGGGCACUGAUGACUAUGCUCUUCUUACAAGUUCCCUAUUUGACAGCUUUUUUAUCUUUUUUGAACAAUACAAGUUCCUUGUUAUUAUUGCAAAAUGAGUGCAAAGUCCAUUCGUUACUUGCCUACCAAUUGCCUUGGGCAAAUCUCAUCAAUUUCAGUAGAGCAAAUGCCUUAAUGAUAACUAUCUGUUUGAGGAUGUUUUACAAUGUCGAACAAGGGAGGGGAAACAAGAUCAUUAAUUCAUGUGUUUUUAGAAUACGUGGGGUUAUUUGAAACUUGUUGGUAUUUUUUAUUUGAAAAUAAAUAAAAAUAAUAUUUUUAAUUUUUAAAAUUUAUUUUUGACAUUAUUAUAUCAAAACUAUUAAAAACACUAAAAACUUUUAAUUUAAAAUAAAAAUAUAUUUCUUCAAAAUUUGAUGAAAAACCGCACCCACAGCCCCACGCAGCUUCAAACAGGGCCUUGUCAAAAGAUUUUUUUUUCUACAAUGUUGCAAAAAUCAACUAAUAAUCAUAAUUUUUUUUCAUUGUAGUUGUAAAACUCAAUCUCACAGGUUAGUCUAACGGGUUGACUUUUGAAACUCAAGACUUAGAGCCUAACCUGUACUGGGUAAACCGGCAAAGCCCUUACUCAGUAGCUCAUUUGGCCUCAAUCUGGGGAGCCAUUGUCUGACCCGAUGACUUAUUUUUAUUCUAUUCCAAUUUCUAGGCUGGAUAUGUCCUUUAUGGCCUUUAAAUAUCCAAGAGGAAAUCGCAUUUUGUUCUGCCAAAUCUUUCGUUGCUUAAGAAUCUACUAUGAGCCAACAGGUUUGGAUUUGUUUUGCCUUUAUGCAAAUUUUUAUUGGCUUUUGUCUCCCUAAGGUUUUCAUUUAGAAAAAUCUUGACAUAUAGCAUAAUUUGAGAGGAAGGGGAGCAAAAUGUUGAACAAUUUCAAUAUCCAAGAUCCAUCAGAAAAAUCUCAUCCAUGAGAGAAGGUGAUAAAGAUAUGAAUUCCAAAGAAAAUCACUACGUUUUAGAAAUAACUGUUGAAGUCUUUUUUAUCAGUGAUCUGAAUAAAAGAACCCAAUAUUGGUUUAGAUUAAUAUUUAUUUAGUUUAAUUACAAGGUAAAGCAUAUAAAUUCUAUAUCAUAUGUCUUUCAUCGAUGAUCUCAUGAAUUUUGCUGAUGGAUCUCGUUAGAGUUUGAAAAGCAAAUAAUUAUUCUAGCUUCUAACUUGUUAAGAAAGAGGAAGAGAUACUUGGAGGAAGACAAUUCUUUUUAUUCAUCAAUCUCAUUACAUAUGGGGAGAAAAAGAUUACAGAGUAAUUAAAAUCUAAUUCAUGAAUAUGUUGGGGAAAUCCGACUGAUGAAGUACUGAUAUUUGCUCAUUGAAGGUUAAACACACUGACAUAAUAUUUAACGUGGUUCGGCAAACCGUCUACAUCCACAGGAGAGUCAAUAUUAUUAGAGAUAGAUAGAGAAAGGGUUACAACACAAAUACAUGGAGGAGAAGGAUCACUUCACUCUACUCUACUCCCAUCUCUCAUUGUUGCACUUGUAGUUGCUGCAUUGGCUACUGCCAUUGCAAUUCUUAUCUCUUUCUCUCUUCACAUACUCUCUACAUUCUCAUUUUUAUUUUGCUCUCAAAUAAUGCCUCUAUUUAUAGGCAUUUCAUGGCGGACAAUUAUGAGUGCUUUUGUGCUGGAAUGGAAUAGAUAUGGCUUCUCAAUCUCUGAGUUCCAGUUGGGUAGAUAUCUUGGUGUGCCUCUCAUUAGUGGAAAGCUAAAUGAUGUUGAUUGCAUGCUGCUCCUGAAAAAAAAAAAAAAUCAUUACUGUUCAUUUCUUACGGGCUUGAAACUAAAUUCAUUGGGAAAUGCAGAGCUAAUUUCAACCCAAAAAUUUGCUUAUCAUUUUUAGUGAAUAAUGAAAUAGAUGAUGAUUAACACAGAUGAUGAUUGACAGUGAUCAUUGAAAUGAUGAAGAAGGUUACAAUCAAAACACACCCAGAGUGAUACAGUAGGUGCUUCAAAGUCUAGACAACACUUACGGAAAGAAGUCUGACGCAGGAGAUUCUAGAGGAGCUGGGCUAUCACAUACGUAGUUGAUAGCUUUGAACUACCUUGACAUGGCAGACCAGUGCAGGGACAGAAGGACACAAGAGUUUGGGUCCGAUUUGAAGAUGUUUUUGCACACUAUGAAACAAUAAGUUGUCAGGCUUAAGAUCUCUGUGCAUGAGAACAAGUGAAUCACAAGCCUCAAAAACCCCAACGAUGGCAUUAGGAUUCUCCCACCACAGAUAGUUGCCAUCUCUAUGCAUGAGACCUAAGCAGCCUGAAAAAGCCUCUCUAUCACGAUAAGCAGAACAGAGGGCAUAACUGAAACAGUGUAAGAAUGAUUCAGAGCAUGCUUUCAUUCCUACCCUUAUUCAUUCAUAAAUUAGAGGCUUGUCGUCCUUCACCAUCGUCCUGCAAAAAGUUAACCCAGUAAUUAAAAGCCAUAAACUUUGAAACCAAUCAAAUUCUAAAAAUUAAUGAACUUCCAUUUCUUUUGUGGGUUCGCUCAAAAAUACUAUCCAUCAAGCAUAUCUGGAAUAUUCAAACAAAUCAAUCAGAAUUAAUGCUUAUAAUUCAAAAUCUUGUCAGGCUUAGGUCUACCUUAAUGAUGUCCCACAACCAUGCAAGGCCAUGAAGGACAUCCUUAGCAUCAGGAUGCUCUCAGUGCACUACUGACGCACACCAUUCUUUUGUUUCCUUGUGAAUCGAACUUAAUGCAGACAACAAGGCUUGAAUCAGGAAGAGAAUUGGUUAUAAGCAGACAGAAAGAUUCAGAGAGACAGAGAGAGGCUAUGUACCCAGAUAUCCCACAGCAAUAAUAAAUUUGGUGCUCAAUUCAAAAGCAUUUUAUGAAAUUGUCUGACAUGAGAAAUUAGGAUUAC